CGAGCACAUCACGUUGAACCACCGGUUCUCGUACGAUCACCGAAGUUAAGCAGCGUUGAGCCUGGUCACUACCUAGAUGGGUAACAGUUUGGGAAUACCAAAUACUGUAAG